GACGAACGCUGGCGGCGUGCUUAACACAUGCAAGUCGAACGGAAAGGCCCUGCUUUUGUGGGGUGCUCGAGUGGCGAACGGGUGAGUAACACGUGAGUAACCUGCCCUUGACUUUGGGAUAACUUCAGGAAACUGGGGCUAAUACCGGAUAGGAGCUCCUGCUGCAUGGUGGGGGUUGGAAAGUUUCGGCGGUUGGGGAUGGACUCGCGGCUUAUCAGCCUGUUGGUGGGGUAGUGGCUUACCAAGGCUUUGACGGGUAGCCGGCCUGAGAGGGUGACCGGCCACAUGGGGCUGGGGAACGGGCCAGGACCCAUCGGGGGGGAAGAGGGGGGGAAUAUUGCCAAAUGGGCGGAGGCUGGAUGCAGAACCGCCGGGUGGGGAAGGCCGGCUUUCGGGUUGUAAACCGCUUUCGCCUGUGACGAGGCGUAAGGGCGGGAAAUGGGUAAAGAAGCACGGGUAACUUACGU
rnacentral:rRNA from 1 species